AUUGAACGCUGGCGGCAUGCCUUACACAUGCAAGUCGAACGGCAGCACGGGUGCUUGCACCUGGUGGCGAGUGGCGAACGGGUGAGUAAUACAUCGGAACAUGUCCUGUAGUGGGGGAUAGCCCGGCGAAAGCCGGAUUAAUACCGCAUACGAUCUACGGAUGAAAGCGGGGGACCUUCGGGCCUCGCGCUAUAGGGUUGGCCGAUGGCUGAAUAGCUAGUUGGUGGGGUAAAGGCCUACCAAGGCGACGAUCAGUAGCUGGUCUGAGAGGACGACCAGCCACACUGGGACUGAGACACGGCCCAGACUCCUACGGGAGGCAGCAGUGGGGAAUUUUGGACAAUGGGCGAAAGCCUGAUCCAGCAAUGCCGCGUGUGUGAAGAAGGCCUUCGGGUUGUAAAGCACUUUUGUCCGGAAAGAAAUCCUUGGCCCUAAUACGGUCGGGGGAUGACGGUACCGGAAGAAUAAGCACCGGCUAACUACGUG
rnacentral:rRNA from 1 species